rnacentral:rRNA from 1 species
CACCGCGGUUAUACGAGAGGCCCAAGUUGAUAGAUGCCGGCGUAAAGAGUGGUUAAGGAAAAAUAAGUACUAAAGCCGAACAUCUUCAAAGCUGUUAUACGCACCCGAAGGAAUGAAGCCCAAUCACGAAAGUGGCUUUAUUAAAACCUGAACCCACGAAAGCUAUGGUA